ACGUAGGUGGCAAGCGUUGUCCGGAUUUAUUGGGUUUAAAGGGUGCGUAGGCGGUUUAUUAAGUCAGUGGUGAAAGACGAUAGCUUAACUAUCGAGGUGCCAUUGAUACUGAUGAACUUGAGUGCACACGAGGUAAGCGGAAUGGACGGUGUAGCGGUGAAAUGCAUAGAUAUCGUCCAGAACACCGAUAGUGAAGACAGCUUACCAGAGUGCAACUGACGCUGAGGCACGAAAGUGUGGGGAUCAAACAGGAUUAGAUACCCUGGUAGUCCACACUGUAAACGUUGAUAACUCGCUGUUGGCGAUACACAGCCAGCGGCCAAGCGCAAGCGAUAAGUUAUCCACCUGGGGAGUACGCCGGCAACGGUG
rnacentral:rRNA from 1 species